AGAGUUUGAUCCUGGCUCAGGAUGAACGCUAGCGGCAGGCCUAAUACAUGCAAGUCGAACGGUAACAUUGGUGCUUGCACCAGAUGACGAGUGGCGCACGGGUGCGUAACGCGUAUGCAAUCUACCUUUUACUAGAGUAUAGCCCAGAGAAAUUUGGAUUAAUCCUCUAUAAUAUCUUUAAGUUUCAUGACUUUUAGAUUAAAGUUUUAACGGUAAAAGAUGAGCAUGCGUCCUAUUAGUUUGUAGGUGAGGUAACGGCUCACCUAGACUACGAUAGGUAGGGGCCCUGAGAGGGGGAUCCCCCACACUGGUACUGAGACACGGACCAGACUCCUACGGGAGGCAGCAGUAAGGAAUAUUGGACAAUGGACGAAAGUCUGAUCCAGCCAUGCCGCGUGCAGGAUGAAAGCCCUAUGGGUUGUAAACUGCUUUUAUACAGGAAGAAACACUCGUACGUGUACGAGCUUGACGGUACUGUAAGAAUAAGGACCGGCUAACUCCGUGCCAGCAGCCGCGGUAAUACGGAGGGUCCGAGCGUUAUCCGGAAUCAUUGGGUUUAAAGGGUCCGCAGGCGGUCUUUUAAGUCAGAGGUGAAAGCCUACAGCUCAACUGUAGAACGGCCUUUGAUACUGAAAGACUUGAGUUAUUAUGAAGUGGUUAGAAUGUGUGGUGUAGCGGUGAAAUGCAUAGAUAUCACACAGAAUACCGAUUGCGAAGGCAGAUCACUAAUAAUAUACUGACGCUCAUGGACGAAAGCGUGGGGAGCGAACAGGAUUAGA
rnacentral:rRNA from 1 species